rnacentral:rRNA from 1 species
AGUGAACGCUGGCGGUAGGCCUAACACAUGCAAGUCGAACGGCAGCACAGUAAGAGCUUGCUCUUACGGGUGGCGAGUGGCGGACGGGUGAGGAAUACAUCGGAAUCUACUUUUUCGUGGGGGAUAACGUAGGGAAACUUACGCUAAUACCGCAUACGAACUACGGGUGAAAGCAGGGGAUCUUCGGACCUUGCGCGAUUGAAUGAGCCGAUGUCGGAUUAGCUAGUUGGCGGGGUAAAGGCCCACCAAGGCGACGAUCCGUAGCUGGUCUGAGAGGAUGAUCAGCCACACUGGAACUGAGACACGGUCCAGACUCCUACGUGAGGCAGCAGUGGGGAAUAUUGGACAAUGGGCGCAAGCCUGAUCCAGCCAUACCGCGUGGGUGAAGAAGGCCUUCGGGUUGUAAAGCCCUUUUGUUGGGAAAGAAAAGCAGCAGGUUAAUACCCCGCUGUUCUGACGGUACCCAAAGAAUAAGCACCGGCUAACUUCGG